AGAGUUUGAUCCUGGCUCAGAUUGAACGCUGGCGGCAUGGCUAAAACAUGCAAGUCGCACGAGAAGCCCCUUCGGGGGUGGACAGUGGCGAAAGGGCGAGUAAUGCAAUCGUACGUACCCCAAGGUGGGGGAUAGCCGGUGGAAACGCCGAGUAAUACCCCAUGUGCUCUACGGAGGAAAGCUUCGGCGCCUCGGGAGCGGCGAUUGUCCUAUCAGGUUGUUGGUGAGGUAAAGGCUCACCAAGCCGAAGACGGGUAGCGGGUGUGAGAGCAUGACCCGCCGCAUCGGGACUGAGACACUGCCCGGACUCCUACGGGAGGCUGCAGUAACGAAUAUUCCGCAAUGGGCGAAAGCCUGACGGAGCAAUGCCGCGUGUAGGAUGAAUCGGCUUCGCCGUGUAAACUACUGUCAGGGUGUAGGAACACUGACCGCACCCAAAGGAAGGACCGGCUAAUUCCGUGCCAGCAGCCGCGGUAAUACGGAAGGUCCAAGCGUUAAUCGGAAUCACUGGGCUUAAAGCGUGCGCAGGCGGUCCGGCAGGCAUCUCGUGAAAUCCCACGGCUCAACCGUGGAACUGCGGGGUGAACCGCCGGACUUGAGGAAGGUAGGGGCCAACGGAACGAUGGGUGGAGCGGUGAAAUGCGUAGAUAUCCAUCGGAACGCCAAAGGCGAAGGCAGUUGGCUGGGCCUUUCCUGACGCUCAGGCACGAAAGCGUGGGUAGCGAACGGGAUUAGAUACCCCGGUAGUCCACGCCGUAAACGAUGCGCACUAGGUCGCGGGAGCUCUCACGCUUUCGCGGCCGAAGUAAAAACGUUAAGUGCGCCGCCUGGGGAGUACGGUCGCAAGACUAAAACUCAAAGGAAUUGACGGGGGCUCACACAAGCGGUGGAGCAUGUUGCUUAAUUCGAGACAACGCGAAGAACCUUACCUGGGUUUGACAUGCACGGAUUAACCUUCCGAAAAGAAGGCCACGCCCUUUGGGUGGAACGUGCACAGGUGCUGCAUGGCUGUCGUCAGCUCGUGCUGUGAAGUGUCGGGUUAAGUCCCUUAACGAGCGCAACCCCUAUCGUUAGUUGCUAACACGUAAUGGUGAGUACUCUAGCGAGACUGCCGGUGUCAAACCGGAGGAAGGUGGGGAUGACGUCAAGUCCUCAUGGCCCUUACGUCCAGGGUUGCAAACGUGCUACAAUGGCGUGGACAGAGCGACGCAAUAUCGCGAGAUGGAGCAAAUCGCAGAAACCACGCCUCAGUUCGGAUAGCAGGCUGCAAUUCGCCUGCUUGAAGCUGGAAUCGCUAGUAAUCGCAGAUCAGCUACGCUGCGGUGAAUACGUUCCUGAGCCUUGUACACACCGCCCGUCAAGUCAUGGAAGCUGGUAGCGCCCGAAGUCGCCUC
rnacentral:rRNA from 1 species